UGAAUAGAAAUAUUUGGUUCUGGUAUAAUGUCAGCCUAGAGUUGCCUAAAAUACACAAUGUAGAACACUUUCGUAAUGUGCUAAAUAGAUAAAAGAGAUAAGCUAGUGUGACUCCUAAAAGGAGUAGUAAGGCAGCAUAAGCAUAAGUCUAAGACGAUGACGCUAAAAAAAUCACAACUCAAGUGGACAGUCCUGGAUUCAAUGAGUUUAUGCUCGAAACGAACGGAAAACUAAUAAAUGUAAGCUAAAGGGGGUGCCAGCAGCUGCGGUCAGUCCCCUUUAAACAGGCUGAUAGAGGUGCAGCCUAGAGGCGGUUAGUCAAAUUACAGCAGUGAGACAUACGCUAAGUUUAAGGAGGUGAAAUUCCGUAAAAUUUAGAGGAGGGCCAAAGCUCACGUAAAGAUGAAGCCGCAAAGUUAUGGGUAUAGACCCGGAUUAGAUACCCGGUUAUUCCAUAAUGUCACGUACAGUUGCUUCAUGAAGAAGUGAUUUGCUAGGAGUACUACGAGCAGUUGCUUAAAACUCGAAGAACUUGGCGGUUCCACAAAACCAUCCAGAGGCUCUUGGCGCUUAAUCCGAUGAUCCGCGCGAUAUCUUACCCACUCUACAUGGCAAUGUACUGCCGUCGAAAGCUUAUAACGUGAGUGAAUAGAAAUAGGCCCUGCCUUAGGCUCAGACAGAAUCUCUGCGCUAAGACUAGGUCAGGUCGAAGUGUUCCUUAUGAGUGAGGGGUUAGCUGAGAGACAAUUUUUAAGAUAUAACAAGCCUUUGAAUGAAAUUUCCUUAAGGUGAGGAGGAUUUGGGAGUAAAAAGAGAGUAACUCGUUCAUUUGAAUAGACGCAACUGUGGUGCGUACAAAUCGCCCGUCACCCUAGCUGAAAGGAGAGGUAAGUCGUAACAUGGUAAGGGUAGGGGAACCUGCUCUUAUGAUA
rnacentral:rRNA from 1 species